UUGAACGCUGGCGGCAGGCCUAACACAUGCAAGUCGAGCGGUAACACAGAGAGCUUGCUCUCGGGUGACGAGCGGCGGACGGGUGAGUAAUGUCUGGGAAACUGCCUGAUGGAGGGGGAUAACUACUGGAAACGGUAGCUAAUACCGCAUAACGUCGCAAGACCAAAGUGGGGGACCUUCGGGCCUCAUGCCAUCAGAUGUGCCCAGAUGGGAUUAGCUAGUAGGUGGGGUAACGGCUCACCUAGGCGACGAUCCCUAGCUGGUCUGAGAGGAUGACCAGCCACACUGGAACUGAGACACGGUCCAGACUCCUACGGGAGGCAGCAGUGGGGAAUAUUGCACAAUGGGCGCAAGCCUGAUGCAGCCAUGCCGCGUGUGUGAAGAAGGCCUUCGGGUUGUAAAGCACUUUCAGCGGGGAGGAAGGCGGUGAGGUUAAUAACCUCAUCGAUUGACGUUACCCGCAGAAGAAGCACCGGCUAACUCCGUGCCAGCAGCCGCGGUAAUACGGAGGGUGCAAGCGUUAAUCGGAAUUACUGGGCGUAAAGCGCACGCAGGCGGUCUGUCAAGUCGGAUGUGAAAUCCCCGGGCUCAACCUGGGAACUGCAUUCGAAACUGGCAGGCUAGAGUCUUGUAGAGGGGGGUAGAAUUCCAGGUGUAGCGGUGAAAUGCGUAGAGAUCUGGAGGAAUACCGGUGGCGAAGGCGGCCCCCUGGACAAAGACUGACGCUCAGGUGCGAAAGCGUGGGGAGCAAACAGGAUUAGAUACCCUGGUAGUCCACGCCGUAAACGAUGUCGAUUUGGAGGUUGUGCCCUUGAGGCGUGGCUUCCGGAGCUAACGCGUUAAAUCGACCGCCUGGGGAGUACGGCCGCAAGGUUAAAACUCAAAUGAAUUGACGGGGGCCCGCACAAGCGGUGGAGCAUGUGGUUUAAUUCGAUGCAACGCGAAGAACCUUACCUGGUCUUGACAUCCACAGAACUUUCCAGAGAUGGAUUGGUGCCUUCGGGAACUGUGAGACAGGUGCUGCAUGGCUGUCGUCAGCUCGUGUUGUGAAAUGUUGGGUUAAGUCCCGCAACGAGCGCAACCCUUAUCCUUUGUUGCCAGCGGUUAGGCCGGGAACUCAAAGGAGACUGCCAGUGAUAAACUGGAGGAAGGUGGGGAUGACGUCAAGUCAUCAUGGCCCUUACGACCAGGGCUACACACGUGCUACAAUGGCAUAUACAAAGAGAAGCGACCUCGCGAGAGCAAGCGGACCUCAUAAAGUAUGGCGUAGUCCGGAUUGGAGUCUGCAACUCGACUCCAUGAAGUCGGAAUCGCUAGUAAUCGUAGAUCAGAAUGCUACGGUGAAUACGUUCCCGGGCCUUGUACACACCGCCCGUCACACCAUGGGAGUGGGUUGCAAAAGAAGUAGGUAGCUUAACCUUCGGGAGGGCGCUUACCACUUUGUGAUUCAUGACUGGGGUG
rnacentral:rRNA from 1 species